GAGACACCCCUACGGAACAGGACUUGCUUCAGUGUGACUUUGGUGCUCACUGAUUCUGUCCCUUGAAUGUGUCAUU
rnacentral:pre_miRNA from 1 species